UACAGAGGUCCCGAGCGUUGUUCGGAUUCAUUGGGCGUAAAGGGUGCGUAGGCGGCGGGGAAAGUCUGAUGUGAAAUCCUGGGGCUCAACCCUGGAACUGCAUUGGAUACUUCCUUGCUAGAGUACUGGAGAGGAAACUGGAAUUUACGGUGUAGCAGUGAAAUGCGUAGAGAUCGUAAGGAAGACCAGUGGCGAAGGCGGGUCUCUGGACAGUUCCUGACGCUGAGGCACGAAGGCCGGGGAGCAAACGGG
rnacentral:rRNA from 1 species